rnacentral:rRNA from 1 species
UACGGUGGGAGCAAGCGUUGUUCGGAUUUACUGGGCGUAAAGGGCGGGUAGGCGGCCACCGCAAGUCAGUUGUGAAAUCUCUGGGCUUAACCCAGAAAGGUCAACUGAUACUGCGGGGCUAGAGUGCAGAAGGGGCAACUGGAAUUCUCGGUGUAGCGGUGAAAUGCGUAGAUAUCGAGAGGAACACCUGCGGCGAAGGCGGGUUGCUGGGCUGACACUGACGCUGAACUGUGAAAGCUAGGGGAGCGAACGGG